GACCGCUUUCCGGGAGACUGGAGUCGAAGGCCGUGAGGUAUUUUUCAAAGUCAGCCAUAAUGGCAGGUGAAGAAAUUAAUGAAGACUAUCCAGUAGAAAUUCACGAGUAUUUGUCAGCGUUUGAGAAUUCCAUUGGUGCUGUGGAUGAGAUGCUGAAGACCAUGAUGUCUGUUUCUAGAAAUGAGUUAUUGCAGAAGUUGGAUCCACUUGAACAAGCAAAAGUGGAUUUGGUUUCUGCAUACACAUUAAAUUCAAUGUUUUGGGGUAUGUGUGUUACUUUGGAAUUAAUUAGAAAGCAAAUUACUUAUUGUGUGAAAGAUGAUUUAUUUUUAAAAUGCUAACAAUUUAUAUACAAUUAUACUUCAUAGCACUUUUAAUAGAUAUUUAUUUUUAAAUCUGGAUGCCAGUGAGCCACACAUAGAUUUAGUAUUACAUGGAAAUUGAAUAAUUUAAAGUUUAAUUGUUUGUAGGACUUUCCUUUUUUGUGAAUAACUAGUUUCUUUAAUUGGAAUGUUUUAAAUUAAUACAUUCACCAUUUUAUUCCAUGAAAUUUUUCUCUUGUAGUUUAUUUGGCAACCCAAGGAGUUAAUCCUAAGGAACAUCCAGUAAAACAGGAAUUGGAAAGAAUCAGAGUAUAUAUGAACAGAGUCAAGGAAAUAAC
rnacentral:sRNA from 1 species